rnacentral:lncRNA from 1 species
CAGCUGGAAGAUCUUAUCUGAUUGAUAAGAUCUCUCAGCAUCCAUACAGACCCGUCUUGAAGAUAGUUCUUGCACAGCCUCUUGACAGCCUAUCCAACAUACUAUCUAUCACAUCCCCAAAAUUGGGUAUAAUUUUGUUUCUUUCCUAGAUUCAGAACAUGGACAUCAUAUCUAUUAAUUACCUCGAUGCACUUAGGAUUACAUGCAAUUGUUUUGCGGGC